rnacentral:rRNA from 1 species
CCAAGGCUAAAUACUCCUGACUGACCGAUAGUGAACCAGUACCGUGAGGGAAAGGCGAAAAGAACCCCGGCGAGGGGAGUGAAAAAGAACCUGAAACCGUGUACGUACAAGCAGUGGGAGCACCUUCGGGUGUGACUGCGUACCUUUUGUAUAAUGGGUCAGCGACUUAUAUUCUGUAGCAAGGUUAACCGUAUAGGGGAGCCGCAGGGAAACCGAGUCUUAACUGGGCGUUAAGUUGCAGGGUAUAGACCCGAAACCCGGUGAUCUAGCCAUGGGCAGGUUGAAGGUUGGGUAACACUAACUGGAGGACCGAACCGACUAAUGUUGAAAAAUUAGCGGAUGACUUGUGGCUGGGGGUGAAAGGCCAAUCAAACCGGGAGAUAGCUGGUUCUCCCCGAAAGCUAUUUAGGUAGCGCCUCGUGAACUCAUCUUCGGGGGUAGAGCACUGUUUCGGCUAGGGGGUCAUCCCGACUUACCAACCCGAUGCAAACUACGAAUACCGAAGAAUGUUAUCACGGGAGACACACGGCGGGUGCUAACGUCCGUCGUGAAGAGGGAAACAACCCAGACCGCCAGCUAAGGUCCCAAAGUCAUGGUUAAGUGGGAAACGAUGUGGGAAGGCACAGACAGCCAGGAUGUUGGCUUAGAAGCAGCCAUCAUUUAAAGAAAGCGUAAUAGCUCACUGGUCGAGUCGGCCUGCGCGGAAGAUGUAACGGGGCUAAACCAUGCACCGAAGCUGCGGCAGCGACACUAUGUGUUGUUGGGUAGGGGAGCGUUCUGUAAGCCUGCGAAGGUGACCUGUGAGGGUUGCUGGAGGUAUCAGAAGUGCGAAUGCUGACAUAAGUAACGAUAAAGCGGGUGAAAAGCCCGCUCGCCGGAAGACCAAGGGUUCCUGUCCAACGUUAAUCGGGGCAGGGUGAGUCGACCCCUAAGGCGAGGCCGAAAGGCGUAGUCGAUGGGAAACAGGUUAAUAUUCCUGUACUUGGUGUUACUGCGAA